UGCAGCCAUGUCAAAUUCGGUCCCCGCCUGCUCUGUGGUGGGAACCGGCCCUGCGGCUGCCAUAUUAAUGCUGUAGUUCAUGGGCCCCGGGUUAAUGUUGUUGGACCCGGGGAUAAAAAUAGGCUACAGACAUUA